CUACGGGGCGCAGCAGUGGGGAAUAUUGCACAAUGGAGGGAACUCUGAUGCAGCAACGCCGCGUGGAGGAUGACGCAUUUCGGUGUGUAAACUCCUUUUAUAUAGGAAGAUAAUGACGGUACUAUAUGAAUAAGCACCGGCUAACUCCGUGCCAGCAGCCGCGGUAAUACGGAGGGUGCAAGCGUUACUCGGAAUCACUGGGCGUAAAGCGCAUGCAGGCGGUUAAAUAAGUUGGAAGUGAAAUCCUAUGGCUCAACCAUAGAACUGCUUCCAAAACUGUUUAACUAGAGUCUGGGAGGGGAAGAUGGAAUUAGUAGUGUAGGGGUAAAAUCCGUAGAGAUUACUAGGAAUACCAAAAGCGAGGGCGAUCUUCUGGAACAGUACUGACGCUGAGAUGCGAAAGCGUGGGGAGCAAACAGGAUUAGAUACCCUUGUAGUC
rnacentral:rRNA from 1 species